CAACAUAAGUUACUUUACAAUUACGUUUUAUUGCUAUAUUUCAAUUACUGCUUUACUAACAAAACUGUAUAUCAUUAAUUUCUCCAACUCCCAAUGAUAUAAAUGUGAAUCCAAAAGCACAUUUAAUUUAUAUAUGUUUCAACGGCUAGACAAGUACUAUUUGGCGACACAAAGAAGAAGUCCAUCUUAUUAUUGCUAUUGACCACAGUCCCAGCCUUGGAGGCUACAAUUGACUAUAAAUAAGUGAUCAACUUUUGUACUUCUUAUCACACCCAAGAACAAGUUAUAGUAGUUGAGUUUAAAAAUGGCUUCCUCAAAGGUUUUUCUAAUUGGCAUCAUUUUUGCUGUUCUUUUUCUCACUCCUUGCGUUGUUUCAGCUCGUCAGACGGCUGAGCCUAUCUCAACUCAAAAGACGCAAUCUGGGAUGCAGCGCAAUGGUAGACCUAUUUACUAUCGUAAUCCACCGAGUUACGGUCCUGGUUAUGGAUCUAGACCUUGUUCUGGAUGUUAAAUUUAUACAACCUAUGGUUCUUAAUGUUCUAUAUUACACUCUACUUAUCCUGCAAUAUCUACGCCUUUCAACUCACUUUCUUACCUUCACCAACAUUUUUUUUUUCCUUGUACUCGUGAUCAUUUUACACUUUUAAUAACCUUCUUCCUUAAAUCCUUAAUUAUGUACUGUGCAAAUGAAUAAGUGUUAAGAUCUGUUGAAAAAGAGUUAGGAUUAGUAACUAAAACAAAUAAUUGAGCGAGUGAUGAUAGUAUAAUGUUACAUUUUGUUUGUGUUCGUUUUCCAGAGUUGAUGGUUUUAUUUUAUUAUGAAUUAUUUCUUAUAUUUGUACUCCUCUCCAACUUUUACUAUAUGUCACAAUGUCAAGAAAGUCUCCUCAUUUUCAACUCUAGUCUUUUUUAUUAAUUUUUUUUUCUUUUUUUUGAGGGGGACUCUAGUCUUUUUUAUAUAUACACAAUACAUGUGACAUUGUGACAUCGCAAAUCUUCGUCUCUUAAGCUCUGUGUUUUAACUUCUAUUUACUUAGUAAGGUUUUACUCAUUUGCUAAUACUCUUGCCAUAGAUUAUUGAUUAAAUUUGAAUUAUUAAAUAAGGAUACUUGGAGAUGUACUAUUAACAUAUACAAAUUACUAAAUAUUUUAUAGUUUCAAAAUUAAAAUAAUUACUAAGGAAAAUUUGUCAAUUACUACCUCUAAAAAGGGCGGUUUGCUAUUCACUACCUUUAAAAAAUAAAGUUGUUUAUUACUAUCUCAAAAAGUGAUUCAUUUGUAUGAUUAUUAUCUUUGGUCUUUUCGACAAAUUAGCCCAAUAUUGACGUUACUUAUCACCUUAAAUAUAAUUUACAUUAAAACUAGUAAGGAAAGCCAUUGAUAAGUGAUUAAAUAAGAUUAAAAUGACAUAAAUUACAUUUUUUUGACUAAAAGUAACGUCAUAAUAUAAUUUCCAUUUCUUGGCUAAAAAGAUGACUAAUAGUUUAGGAAAAUUUGUUAGGAACUACCUACCUAAUAGGUCAUUUUGUCAAUAACUACUAGCUUAAAAUUUUUAUUAAAAAAACUACCCCUUAAAUUUAAAAAGUUUGAUUGGCACUACCCAUAUUGAUUUUCAGGCAAUAAAAUCCGAUAAUAAUUGUCUUUAGAAAACCUACAGCAAUGAAAAUAUCACAUCUAGGCCUCAAGAGGUCUUUGAAUAGUGAACUGCUAAACACCACUCGCAAAUCUCUACAUAAAGCCCAUAAAUUUGAAGUAAAGUGACACUUUUGCCCUCAAAGUAAAAAACACACUCUCAUCUUCUCUCUACUCUUUACUGUCAUUUUCUCUCUCUAAAAACUUUUCUAAAAUGUCGAGGCGACAAGGCAAGGAAGUGGCGGCACCGGUGGCGGGAGGAAGGCGGUUUCGCGGUGAAAAGGCAUCGCAUUUUGGACCUGGUGCGGGGAAGAGUAUGGACAUUGUAAGAAGUACGAUCUACUCAAUGGAGAGCUUGAGGCCCAGACACGUUAGAUCCCGUGGUAUUUCGGCCUCGGCUCGCAGAGAACGGGUGCACUAUUCUGAGGAUGAUGAUGGUGAUGAGG